AAUAGAGCGGCCCGCGACUGUGACGUUCUCUUGUCAUUGGUGCCAUCUUAGGAAGGCUUCUCUUCUCGAGAUGAGAGCCAAGUGGAGGAAGAAGCGUAUGCGCAGACUGAAGCGUAAAAGGCGAAAGAUGAGGCAGAGGUCCAAGUAAACGCCUCCUCCUUUGCUGCAUUUGAGACCUGCCAGCUGAAGACAGCACUCCCAUGUGGAUCCAUGCGGUCUAGAACAACCUGCCAUAAGAUCUGACUGAUGACCUGCCUGGGAAUACUGGCGAUCUACCUUCUGCGUGUACUUCUGGAAGUUUCCAUUGUUUCAUCCUAACCCAGUGUCAAGGACUAACAUGCUAAUUCCUCUGGGAGUUUGGACUUUAUAGCGUCUGGUCUCAUGCAGCAGAUGUAAUAAAUGUUUUUGGUAAACCAAA